rnacentral:misc_RNA from 1 species
GAUGAAGAACGUAGUGAAAUGCGAUAAUUAAUGUGAAUUGCAGAAUUCAGUGAAUCAUCGAGUCUUUGAACGCACAUUGCGCCCCCUGGCAUUCCGGGGGGCAUGCCUGUCCGAGCGUCAUUGCUGCCCUCAAGCACGGCUUGUGUGUUGGGCUUCCGUCCCUGGCAACGGGGACGGGCCCAAAAGGCAGUGGCGGCACCAUGUCUGGUCCUCGAGCGUAUGGGGCUUUGUCACCCGCUCCCGUAGGUCCAGCUGGCAGCUAGCCUCGCAACCAAUCUUUUUAACCAGGUUGACCUCGGAUCAGGUAGGGAUACCCGCUGAACUUAAGCAUAUCAAUAAGCGGAGGA